rnacentral:lncRNA from 1 species
CAGUGCUAAAGCUGUCUGCAGUGGUUCACAUAAAGACUGAACACACCUAAUGGAAAAUAACACAACUCUGUCACCUGUGCCUCUCAAAGCACCCGAAAAACAGACGUACAUCUCUACUACAGACUAAUUUGGAAACAGCUAGGCUGGAUGCCUGACUGAAAGUGCAGGACAGAAUUUCCCCUCAACUGACCACUUCAGAGCAACAACAGGAAAAAAAAGUCCAUGAGAACUAGGUAAGUUUCCAUUCCCAAACUAACUGCGGAGGAGGAAGAUCUUCCUGUUGCAUUUAUACUGUUUUAAUCAAUUUCAUGUUUUCUCCCACUACAGAAGUGAAUGUGCUGCUUCAGUGAUUUGAACAUUUACAAAGCCAAAGCAGCCCAGGGUACUUUAAUCUUUUUGUGGCCCCUCCUUCCUCCUCCUUUCUUUGUUUGGGGACAGUGUGUUAAAAGAAACGCAGUGGAGUGUCCUGAGGAUAACUCUAUUGGAAAUUUAGUUACUACAUACUACUUAGUUUGCUUUCUGACUCCUGACAGCCUGAACCAGAGAUGCACAUGAGCCACAACAGAAUGCAACAAUCAGUGUCUCCUUUGGGGCAGUAUGUAAAUUUACAAAUAAAUCUAAAAUGUGAUUAAAAUUUCUUAAGCA